rnacentral:tRNA from 1 species
GCUAAGAUGGCGGAACGGCUACGCAAUCGCCUGCAGAGCGAUUUCAUCCCGGUUCGAAUCCGGGUCUUAGCU